rnacentral:misc_RNA from 1 species
UUUCACUCUGUCUUUUGUUUGUCUUUUCGGGGCGAACGGACGGGAUCGUGGGGGUUUCGGCGCGCGCCGUCUCCCGAAAUUGCGACAUGCACGAGCCGUGGGCUGGUUGCAUCCGACGUUGUAAGCGCAGCGCGUUCCUCGUUGGGCCAGCCAGUCCGAGCAAGCUCAGCGACCAGCACCCAAAUGUUAACCAACCA